rnacentral:rRNA from 1 species
UACGAAGGGUGCAAGCGUUACUCGGAAUUACUGGGCGUAAAGCGUGCGUAGGUGGUGAGUUAAGUCUGUCGUGAAAUCCCCGGGCUCAACCUGGGAAUGGCGAUGGAUACUGGCUCGCUAGAGUGCGGUAGAGGAGAGUGGAAUUCCCGGUGUAGCAGUGAAAUGCGUAGAGAUCGGGAGGAACAUCAGUUGCGAAGGCGGCUCUCUGGACCGGCACUGACACUGAGGCACGAAAGCGUGGGGAGCAAACAGG